rnacentral:piRNA from 1 species
CGCUGACUUUGGUGGACACGGGCAUU